rnacentral:tRNA from 1 species
UUAUCUGAAACCAAAAUAGAGGUUUAUCACUGUUAAUGAUAUCAUUGAAUUAAAUCCAGAUAAG